rnacentral:rRNA from 1 species
GGGACGGGUGAGUAACACGUGGAUAACCUACCUAUAAGACUGGGAUAACUUCGGGAAACCGGAGCUAAUACCGGAUAAUAUAUUGAACCGCAUGGUUCAAUAGUGAAAGACGGUUUUGCUGUCACUUAUAGAUGGAUCCGCGCCGCAUUAGCUAGUUGGUAAGGUAACGGCUUACCAAGGCAACGAUGCGUAGCCGACCUGAGAGGGUGAUCGGCCACACUGGAACUGAGACACGGUCCUAG